GACGAACGCUGGCGGCGCGCCUAACACAUGCAAGUCGAACGAGCGAGAGAGAGCUUGCUUUCUCGAGCGAGUGGCGAACGGGUGAGUAACGCGUGAGGAACCUGCCUCAAAGAGGGGGACAACAGUUGGAAACGACUGCUAAUACCGCAUAAGCCCACGGUGCCGCAUGGCACAGAGGGAAAAGGAGCAAUCCGCUUUGAGAUGGCCUCGCGUCCGAUUAGCUAGUUGGUGAGGUAACGGCCCACCAAGGCGACGAUCGGUAGCCGGACUGAGAGGUUGAACGGCCACAUUGGGACUGAGACACGGCCCAGACUCCUACGGGAGGCAGCAGUGGGGAAUAUUGCACAAUGGGGGAAACCCUGAUGCAGCGACGCCGCGUGGAGGAAGAAGGUCUUCGGAUUGUAAACUCCUGUUGUUGGGGAAGAUAAUGACGGUACCCAACAAGGAAGUGACGGCUAACUACGUGCCAGCAGCCGCGGUAAAACGUAGGUCACAAGCGUUGUCCGGAAUUACUGGGUGUAAAGGGAGCGCAGGCGGGAAGACAAGUUGGAAGUGAAAUCUAUGGGCUCAACCCAUAAACUGCUUUCAAAACUGUUUUUCUUGAGUAGUGCAGAGGUAGGCGGAAUUCCCGGUGUAGCGGUGGAAUGCGUAGAUAUCGGGAGGAACACCAGUGGCGAAGGCGGCCUACUGGGCACCAACUGACGCUGAGGCUCGAAAGUGUGGGUAGCAAACAGGAUUAGAUACCCUGGUAGUCCACACCGUAAACGAUGAUUACUAGGUGUUGGAGGAUUGACCCCUUCAGUGCCGCAGUUAACACAAUAAGUAAUCCACCUGGGGAGUACGACCGCAAGGUUGAAACUCAAAGGAAUUGACGGGGGCCCGCACAAGCAGUGGAGUAUGUGGUUUAAUUCGACGCAACGCGAAGAACCUUACCAAGUCUUGACAUCCCUUGACAGACAUAGAAAUAUGUAAUCUCUUCGGAGCAAGGAGACAGGUGGUGCAUGGUUGUCGUCAGCUCGUGUCGUGAGAUGUUGGGUUAAGUCCCGCAACGAGCGCAACCCUUAUGGUCAGUUACUACGCAAGAGGACUCUGGCCAGACUGCCGUUGACAAAACGGAGGAAGGUGGGGAUGACGUCAAAUCAUCAUGCCCUUUAUGACUUGGGCUACACACGUACUACAAUGGCGUUAAACAAAGAGAAGCAAGACCGCGAGGUGGAGCAAAACUCAGAAACAACGUCCCAGUUCGGACUGCAGGCUGCAACUCGCCUGCACGAAGUCGGAAUUGCUAGUAAUCGUGGAUCAGCAUGCCACGGUGAAUACGUUCCCGGGCCU
rnacentral:rRNA from 1 species